rnacentral:lncRNA from 1 species
AGAACGCUUCACCACUGCACUGUUCUUGUCUUCUAAACAGUAAAAGCCAAUGGAUUCUCCUGCCUCGUACUCCAUCAAUUUCCUGUCUCCUGAAAUUCCUUGUAGUGAAACAUAUAUGGAAAUGGUUGAAGUAAAAGGACUUGCCUGGCGUCAUGAAAAUGCAGAUUCCUGG